rnacentral:rRNA from 1 species
UACGUAGGUGGCGAACGUUGUCCGGAUUUACUGGGCGUAAAGCGCACGUAGGCGGCUUUGUAAGUUAGAGGUGAAAGCCCAGGGCUUAACCCUGGAAUUGCCUUUAAGACUGCAUCGCUAGAAUCGUGGAGAGGUAAGUGGAAUUCCGAGUGUAGAGGUGAAAUUCGUAGAUAUUCGGAAGAACACCAGUGGCGAAGGCGACUUACUGGACACGUAUUGACGCUGAGGUGCGAAAGCGUGGGGAGCAAACAGG